AGCGAACGCUGGCGGCAGGCCUAACACAUGCAAGUCGAACGAACUCUUCGGAGUUAGUGGCGGACGGGUGAGUAACACGUGGGAACGUGCCUUUUGGUUCGGAAUAACUCAGGGAAACUUGUGCUAAUACCGAAUGUGCCCUUCGGGGGAAAGAUUUAUCGCCAUUAGAGCGGCCCGCGUCUGAUUAGCUAGUUGGUGAGGUAACGGCUCACCAAGGCGACGAUCAGUAGCUGGUCUGGGAGGAUGACCAGCCACACUGGGAAUGAGACACGGCCCAGACUCCUACGGGAGGGAGCAGUGGGGAAUCUUGCGCAAUGGGGGAAAGCCUGACGCAGCCAUGCCGCGGGAAUGAUGAAGGUCUUAGGAUUGUAAAAUUCUUUCACCGGGGACGAUAAUGACGGUACCCGGAGAAGAAGCCCCGGCUAACUUCGUG
rnacentral:rRNA from 1 species